rnacentral:rRNA from 1 species
AGUGAACGCUGGCGGUAGGCCUAACACAUGCAAGUCGAACGGCAGCACAGUAAGAGCUUGCUCUUACGGGUGGCGAGUGGCGGACGGGUGAGGAAUACAUCGGAAUCUACUUUUUCGUGGGGGAUAACGUAGGGAAACUUACGCUAAUACCGCAUACGACCUACGGGUGAAAGCAGGGGAUCUUCGGACCUUGCGCGAUUGAAUGAGCCGAUGUCGGAUUAGCUAGUUGGCGGGGUAAUGGCCCACCAAGUCGACGAUCCGUAGCUGGUCUGAGAGGAUGAUCAGCCACACUGGAACUGAGACACGGUCCAGACUCCUACGGGAGGCAGCAGUGGGGAAUAUUGGACAAUGGGCGCAAGCCUGAUACAGCCAUACCGCGUGGGUGAAGAAGGCCUUCGGGUUGUAAAGCCCUUUUGUUGGGAAAGAAAAGCAGCAGGUUAAUACCCCGCUGUUCUGACGGUACCCAAAGAAUAAGCACCGGCUAACUUCGUG